rnacentral:Y_RNA from 1 species
GACUGGUCCAAGUGCAGUGGUGUUUACAACUAAUUGAUCACCACCAGGUAUAAAUCCCUCUGUUCCUUCUCCAUUCCCACUGCUUCACUUGACUAGCUGUUA